CCUACGGGUGGCAGCAGUGGGGAAUAUUGCACAAUGGGCGCAAGCCUGAUGCAGCCAUGCCGCGUGUGUGAAGAAGGCCUUCGGGUUGUAAAGCACUUUCAGCGGGGAGGAAGGCGGUGAGGUUAAUAACCUCAUCGAUUGACGUUACCCGCAGAAGAAGCACCGGCUAACUCCGUGCCAGCAGCCGCGGUAAUACGGAGGGUGCAAGCGUUAACCGGAAUUACUGGGCGUAAAGCGCACGCAGGCGGUCUGUCAAGUCGGAUGUGAAAUCCCCGGGCUCAACCUGGGAACUGCAUUCGAAACUGGCAGGCUAGAGUCUUGUAGAGGGGGGUAGAAUUCCAGGUGGAGCGGUGAAAUGCGUAGAGAUCUGGAGGAAUACCGGUGGCGAAGGCGGCCCCCUGGACAAAGACUGACGCUCAGGUGCGAAAGCGUGGGGAGCAAACAGGAUUAGAUACCCUUGUAGUC
rnacentral:rRNA from 1 species